rnacentral:rRNA from 1 species
GACGAACGCUGGCGGCGUGCCUAAUACAUGCAAGUCGAGCGCAGGAAACCGUCUGAGCCCUUCGGGGGGACGACGGUGGAAUGAGCGGCGGACGGGUGAGUAACACGUAAAGAACCUGCCCACGGGUCUGGGAUAACCACGAGAAAUCGGGGCUAAUACCGGACGGGUCAUCGGACCGCAUGGUCCGAGGAUGAAAGGCGCUCCGGCGUCGCCCGUGGAUGGCUUUGCGGUGCAUUAGCUAGUUGGUGGGGUAACGGCCCACCAAGGCGACGAUGCAUAGCCGACCUGGGAGGGUGAUCGGCCACACUGGGACUGAGACACGGCCCAGACUCCUACGGGAGGCAGCAGUAGGGAAUCUUCCACAAUGGACGAAAGUCUGAUGGAGCAACGCCGCGUGAACGAUGAAGGCCCUCGGGUCGUAAAGUUCUGUUGUAAGGGAAGAACAAGUGCCGCAGGCAAUGGCGGCACCUUGACGGUACCUUGCGAGAAAGCCACGGCUAACUACGUGCCAGCAGCCGCCGUAACAC